rnacentral:lncRNA from 1 species
AUUUCUAUUUUAUUUUUUAAUUCCAUUUCAUUUUCUAAAAUCCAUAUCUCUUUCAUUAUUGAUUGAUACAUACCAUUUCAUUUAAUGCACUUUAUUUCUUCAUUUCUUUCUUCUUCUUCUCCUUCUUCUUUUUCUUUUUUUAUCAAUGAGUUAAAGAUUGGUGGUUAGCAUUGAUUAGGGAGGUUUAAUCUUCCUUGAUUCAAAUCUAAUUCAUCUUGA